GAUGAACGCUGGCGGCAUGCUUAACACAUGCGAGUCGAACGGGAAGUGGUGUUUCCAGUGGCGAACGGGUGAGUAACGCGUAAGAACCUGCCCUUGGGAGGGGAACAACAACUGGAAACGGUUGCUAAUACCCCGUAGGCUGAGGAGCAAAAGGAGAAAUCCGCCCAAGGAGGGGCUCGCGUCUGAUUAGCUAGUUGGUGAGGUAAUAGCUUACCAAGGCGAUGAUCAGUAGCUGGUCCGAGAGGAUGAUCAGCCACACUGGGACUGAGACACGGCCCAGACUCCUACGGGAGGCAGCAGUGGGGAAUUUUCCGCAAUGGGCGAAAGCCUGACGGAGCAAUGCCGCGUGGAGGUGGAAGGCCUACGGGUCGUCAACUUCUUUUCUCGGAGAAGAAACAAUGACGGUAUCUGAGGAAUAAGCAUCGGCUAACUCUGUG
rnacentral:rRNA from 1 species